UGAGAUCUGACAAGUCGUCGUACUCGUCCCUCAGGAUGUCUUUCUCCAGGCAGAAGGUGGCCAGGCCUCUCGAAGCAUCCCGGCCAGCGAAAAUGCCGUAAGGACCAUCUGAAAAACAAACAACAGCAAGAAUGAACUCGAGGACCACGCUGCCAGGUUGGAAAAAUGGCAGUUUUGAGUUUCAUGAACAAGGCGCUCAUGAUGCCACUGACCAGCCAAUUGGUGACAUGCAGUCCUGCUUGGAUCGCUUGGAACCCCGGCUGAGCACUAAGACCUUCUGACCCAACACUUCUCCACAGCCCGUGCAUCAACUCCUCAUCGUGCUCCUUCUGUCCUGUUACUAUUAGUGGAGAACAGAGACCGUUCUCCACUAAUAGAAAUGAUGACAUCAGUUUUUCUUGUAAGUGAUUAGCUGAUUACAGAAAAGUCAUUGAUAAUUUAAUUCAAAUUUUAUAUAUGCAUGCACACAAAUCAUAGACCCACUUUCUAACAUGCAUCUCAAAUUUAUUUGGAACAGUUGACCUGAUAAAAUAAGCCUUUUAAACCCCCCUUAGGCUCUAGGAAAAUGGCUCUGUCUCUUAACAGGCAAAACAUGCAAUCAAGAAAUGUAUGAGUUCACCAAAAUAACAUUAACAAGCCUACUUCUUGCAAAUUACAAACUAAAUUACUUUGACCAGCAUGCAUUUUAUAUGGAUUUAAAUAACAAUCACACUUCUGAGUACAACAAGCUCUUAAUUGAGCUUUUUUAAAUGUGUUUCCACAUUAAACAUCUUCAAAUGAUUUAAGUCUGCUUCUGUUUUUUCUUCCACUACGAGAACACCCUUCAUAUGCUGGUAAAAACCAAGCAGACAUUUCUGUUCUGUUCUGAAUCCAUAAAAGUCUAUUUUCACCUACUGAUCCACUUCCAUGCAACUGAAGGUUACAUCAUCUAUGCUGAUGAAUGGGAUCAAAGUGUUUUUAACUGAUGAUGUGAUUUAUGGUGACCUGCUACUGAGGUUUGGCCAUCAGCAUUAUACGAUGCUGUAGUGUUGUAAAACCUGAAUAUACACUGGUCCUGUGCUAUAGUUCUGUUCUAAUGUAAGGCAUGCAUAAUGCUGUGUGACCUAUAGUCAGAGUCUGUACAUGCACUGUAUCCACAGAAGAGGCAGCUUUCAAAAAGGAGGUCACUGAGCUCUGGAAGCAGCUGUAGUCUGGAGGCUUGUAUAGUGGACAGUAAAUGGUGCAUUUAUUUUUGUCCCUCCUCUGCACAGUGUGAGGUUUAACAGCUCUGUCACAAUGUCUUCAUGUCAAAGUGGCAUGAGUGCCAGUAGUGCUUACGCUUUAAAGGAAACCUACAGUUGAAAGCAACCAAGGGCUACCCCAAUGCUCCAGAGCACCAUUCAAUCAUAUACUGUCUAUAUAUCCACUCUAGUGUAUGUGCAAUUGUGUUUCCUGCUGUAUAAGAAAGAAAUUUAAGACUCAGUGCAACAUCACAAUGAUCAUCACUGAAGAGGUGCUGCAGACAGUAAUGGUUAUGAGAUAUGAGCCCUAAUGCAACCAUAGCAGAGUGCUUUGUGUGGUUUUAAGGACCCUGGUCAAACGAUUACAAUACAAGCAUACACAGACUCAUUUUUCAGCCCAGCAUUAGAUUUCUGAUCCAUCAUGUGGCAGUCUGCUGGGUCAUCUAGUACAUUUCUUAGUGAUUUCCAUAUCAGUGAUCUGAUCACAAUUUUUACUGAUCAAACUGCAUCUUUAAAAGAACAAUAUGAAUUAGAACACAAUGCAUAAAAUUCAAAGAUGAGCACUUUUUUUUUUUAAAGCAGGACUUGUGAACUGUGGAAAUACAAGAAAACUCCCCUGGAUAAAUUCUUCAAAAUCAAAUCUGGCAGAAACUGAGGAUUCACUGAUAAUGCCAAAGUUUAUGGUGACUUUCUGAGUCAGCACAUUGGACCAAUAAAAACACUUCUGGUCUCUUUAACUGAUUUCUUCAUUGACAACUCCUCACCUAUUUAUUAAAAAAAUAUGAAGGCUGGAAGUUAACAGAUGGAUGCUGACACGGUUGUUUGUGCCUUUUGGGGCAUUUCUGCUGCAACUACCUAACAGUUUAUAUCAAAGAAGUCUGGGCUCCAGGUUUGCUGAGUCUAUAGCUUCUACCCACUGGCUGUGCAUACGUAGUAUAGCCUGAUCUGUAUCAACUUCUCAAAGACGUUUCUAUUCCACAGACCAGGGUGGGUGCACUUAGACAGCCUUCAAUAAUGCAUAAAUAUGUCUAAUUUUUCUCUCAAGCCAUCAAAUAUUGUGACAGUGAUCGUGACUGAAUAACUGAUAAAUGGAUGCGAUGGCUUGAUGCACACCAGGUUUUCUCACCCUUUAACUUUUGUAAAUAUUACAAUAUAAGCGGAUGUUCUUAUUUAAUUAAUUUUCAGUUUUGGUAACAACCUAUAGAGUUUAAAUGUGAUCAUCACAUAAAGCCCACUACACCAGUCAAAAUUCAGAAGAAUUUCAUCCAUGCAACACCAGAACGAGCUUAGCACAAAUCCUGGAAUGAUAAUGAGAGAGCUAACUUAGCAUCAUCCAAAGUAUUUCUUAACAACUGCAAAGCUGUUUCAAUGUAUAAAAUCAAGUUAGAGUCAAUGUUUCCAUGGAUAUUACGUUAGAACUGAAAUAUGCAAACACAUACGAAACUUGAGCAAUAUUCUGUGAAUAGCAGCGAGAUGCAAAGGCUGGUUUGUUCAGGCAUGAUUUGCUACGCUGUGUGCUGUACGUGCACUUCUGUACUGGGUGUUCCUUUUCUAGUGUCAGUGCAGCGUUUUUUUAAACCGCUCUUUGGCAGACCUGCUCCAACAUGCUACAUGAUGACUGUAAGACUUUUUUAUUAGCUGUCAAUUCCAAGCAGAAAAGGCUGCGUACUGAUCUAAAAGUGCAGGUCGUCUGUGUGUCCAGCAGGUAAAAAUAAUUUUCCCCAUAUGAGAAUAUUUGAUCCAUACAUCAUGUUCUACACCAAAAACAUUUGGUGUAGAAGAUAAUGACUUUAUUUUGAUUUUUUAAAAAAAAGGGAGUUUGAGUAUUAGGUGUGGUAUUUGAGUCAUCUAUAAACUUUUAAAAUAGAUAAAAUAUACAGCGCUCACUGAUGCUAUACGAGUGCAUUACAGUCUAGCCUUUAGGCCUUUAAAAUCCACCAUUAACGUAAUGUGUACAGUAUGGUUUUCACUUUUCG